AUUGAACGCUGGCGGCAGGCUUAACACAUGCAAGUCGAGCGGGGAAAAGUAGCUUGCUACUUUACCUAGCGGCGGACGGGUGAGUAAUGCUUAGGAAUCUGCCUAUUAGUGGGGGACGACAUCUCGAAAGGGAUGCUAAUACCGCAUACGUCCUACGGGAGAAAGCAGGGGACCUUCGGGCCUUGCGCUAAUAGAUGAGCCUAAGUCGGAUUAGCUAGUUGGUGGGGUAAAGGCCUACCAAGGCGACGAUCUGUAGCGGGUCUGAGAGGAUGAUCCGCCACACUGGGACUGAGACACGGCCCAGACACCUACGGGAGGCAGCAGUGGGGAAUAUUGGACAAUGGGGGGAACCCUGAUCCAGCCAUGCCGCGUGUGUGAAGAAGGCCUUUUGGCUGUAAAGCACUUUAAGCGAGGAGGAGGCUACCGAGAUUAAUACUCUUGGAUAGUGGACGUUACUCGCAGAAUAAGCACCGGCUAACUCUGUGCCAGCCGCCGCCGUAA
rnacentral:rRNA from 1 species